AGAUAUGUCGUUUCAAAACGUCAUAUCUCCGAGCGGAGAUAUGACGCUUUCAAACGACAUAAGUCCGCCAGAAAAAAAGCGACAUAAUUCCGCCGGCAAAAUUUACUGGGCGGAGAUACAUACAUAUGUAUGUCGUCGGAGAUAUGACGCUAUGCCGGACAGAACCUUAAAUACACACACACACAAUCACACAAAGCCACAUACACGGAAACAGAGCUGCUUUUUGUCAUUUAGUUGAAUAAAACAUUAAUCUGUAAUAAGAUUACUGGAUGCUGAGCAAGGUGGGGGAAAUACGACGCGAUGACUACUGCUUAGACUAUGCCGGCAAGGAAGAGAUACUCUACUCGUGCCACGGCGGCAAGGGAAAUCAGUUUUAGACAUAUCGUGAGAACACCAAGCAACUGCAUCACGGCACCUCCGGCAAGUGUCUGUCCAUCAGCGAGAAGAAGGAUCAGCUGCUCAUGGAGGAAUGCAUACAGUCCCUGACUCGACAUGAAUGGUUGCUGGAGAGCUACGACAGCUCCAAAUUGUGAGGCUACUUCUGUGCGAGGGGCAACGUCCACUUCGCAGCGCCAUCGACAACGAGACAGGCGAGCAUAGCAGCAGCGGCAGCAGCAGCAGAAACAGAAACAGAAACAGCAACAAAAGCGGCAUUGGAAAGUGUAGUCAGAGUGGAAACAGGAGUUGGAAUAGAUUUUCCCCUAUUCUAUUCCAGGCAUGUGCAAUACGCAGGAAAAUGUAGGGAGAAUGGGGGAGUUUGUCAUCAGCAUUAGUUUGCCAUGCUAUAUAAAUAUGAUUGAAAUUUAUAUGUUUCCAAGCAACAUAAUAUAUGUUACAUAGCUAUAAGAAACACACACAGAUCUACAGAUAGACAUACAGACGAACAGACACUUACACUUACAAAAAAAAAAGAACGACUGCUGUACAGUAGCUAUAAGUUUUGAAGGCCUAAAGUCAGCAUGACUUUGGGGCCGUUAGGUUAGAAUCAAGCCAAGACAAGUGCUGGCAAAAAAGAAAAACAAGAAGUUGUAGCGCAUUUUUUGCAUUUAAAUUUGU